rnacentral:hammerhead_ribozyme from 1 species
AUCCAGCUGAAGAGUCCAAAAUAGGACGAAACGCGCGUCCUGGAU